rnacentral:lncRNA from 1 species
GUGAAUGAAUUACUCAGAUAUGAAGAUCAUCAUCUAGGUUUUGUGUAGAAGGCCCCGGAUAUUUUAAGUGGCCAUUUUGGAUUUACAAUGUUUUUGGAUAAUUUUGCCCCAGAAGUUUAUUAAAAUUGGCAAGAAUCGUCUAUGAAGUGAAUUGAUAGUAGUGAACAAUUCAGCAAGCUACUUAAAAAGAGACCCAGGCAGCAUUUCUUCAGUAUUUUGGUUCAAACGGAUUAUAUAACCGGUUACAGUAUUUCAGCUGGUGGUAAUUUUUGCCUUCCCCCUCCCCCACCCCGUUGUUGGGAUUCUUCAGCCGAAACUGUGAGAGACGUUGAUUUGUGUACUGAGUAGUUUCAGCAGUUUCAAAUGACUGAGUAUUGCUGAAGUUUCAUGGCGGUUUAUUUUUACUUUUAUUGAAAGUUUUAGGAAUUUUUGACUUCAGCUCUUUCAUGUCACAAUGGGACACUUUUUCUAAAUGAAGACAUUGAAAGAAUACCGAAUUUUUUUCCUUUUAUUUACGUAGAAAUUUAAGAUGUUGCAGUUUCCCGGCAGCAUGGUAGUAUUGAGAUAGCUGUGUGUGUGUCUGUAUAUGCUGAUAUUUAGGAAUGCUCUUCAGAUGUGAAAUUUUCUUUUUGUUUUUGCUUUUUGGCUCGUAAAUUGGAUAUUUCAUCUGGAGUGGACAAGUACAGCAGUGGCAAGUACAUGGAAUAAUAAAGAAGACUGAUCUUAAAUCUAAAGAACUUGGCUAAUUCGGGAGAUAGCCAUAUGAAAACUUUAAAACAGAAGUAUGGGUAGCUGACUUGAAGUAACUCUAUGUCAAAUAGUCAUAGGUUAAGUAUUUUCAAAGAACUUCGAUAUUAUUUCAGAGGAUACAAAAUAAAAAUACAAACUGGAAAAGAAAGAUUACAAAGAAAAAACCAACACCUUCCUGUGCAGUCCUGUUGGAAUUUACAAGGUCUUGCUCUGUUGCCCAGGCUGGAGUGGUACAGUGGAACAGUCAGGGCUCACUGCAACCUCGACUUGCUGGGCUCAAGCCAUUGUCCUGCCUCAGCCCGCCCCCCCGCAAGUAGCCAAGACCACAGGGACUUGCCAUGA